rnacentral:misc_RNA from 1 species
AACUUUCGGCAAUGGAUCACUUGGCUCUCGCAUCGAUGAAGAACGCAGCGAAUUGCGAUAAGUAAUGGGAAUUGCAGAUUUCCAGUGAAUCAUCGAAUCUUUGAACGCAUCUUGCGCUCCAUGGUAUUCCGUGGAGCAUGCCUGUUUGAGUGUCAUUCAAGUUCUCAACCACAACUGGAUUCUUUUUUCUGUUGUGGCUUGGAUUGGUGGGGGAUUUGCUGGCUUUCACAAGUCUGCUCCCCUGAAAUGCAUUAGUGGUAUGAGCUACUACGUGGUGUGAUAAAUUUAUCUAUGCCCUGCUAGUGUGCAGCUGUAUACUGCUUCUAACAAAAACCUUAUUUGUUUGAUGAAUUUGACCUCAAAUCAGGUAGGACUACCCGCUGAACUUAAGCAUAUCAAUAAGCGGAGGCU